GAGAGUUGGCUUACAAUCGCCACUUCACACAAUACAUAAAUAUAAUUCAUACAUCAUCCAAAAUACACACAUAGACCGACUACGGUCAAGAUCCAAAUGAAAAUAAGAUAACCCCAAAUGCUAGAUCCCCGAUCGUCCAACUGGGCUCCACUACUGAUCAUCAGGAAAAGACACAUAGUAACGACCACGUUCCUCGUCGAACUCCCACUUGAGGUCGAUCUCAUCAUCUGCACUGGCAUCGUCGGCACCUGCAACUGUUUUGGUAGAAUCUGUGAGUCACGAGGACUCAGCAAUCUCACACCCGCGAGAUCAAGACUAUUUAAGCUUAUAGGAAAGGAUGGUGUAAUGAGGUGGAGCUGCAGCAGGCACUAAGCAUGUAUAGCGGCUAACAUACGCAAAAGAGAGCGAGAAGAGAAGCAACGGAACGGUCGUCAACUAGUAAUGACCAAAAAUGAUCCUGAACUCCUACUUACGUCAUACAUAACUCGAACCGUGUUCACUCCCCGGACUCCGCCGAGAAGAGACCAUCACGGCUACACACACAGUUGAUGUAUUUUAACUGGGUCAAGUGACAAGUUCUCUACAACCGGACAUUAAUAAAUUCGCAUCUGCCUCAUAACCGCGGGCACGGCUUUCGAAAGAUAAUACCCUGCAGGGGUGCCCCAACUUAGUCCAUCAUAAGCUCUCACGGUCAACGAAGGAUAAACCUUCUCCCGGAAAGACCCGAUCAGUCUCAGAAUCCCGGUUUACAAGACAUUUCGACAAUGGUAAAACAAGACCAGCAAAGCCGCCCGAUGUGCCGACAAAUCCCGAUAGGAGCUGCACAUAUCUCGUUCUCAGGGCAACACCGGAUGAGACUAGCUACGAGUAAAACCAGUCCUCAAGUUUCCCCAAGGUGGCCCCGCAGGCAGCUCGGUUCGAACCAACACUCGAAGGAGCACUGGCCCGUGGGGGUCUAAAAUAAAGAUGACCCUCGGGCUCGCGAAAACCCAAGGGAAGUGUAGGUGGUAGGUGGUCAAAUGGUAAAACCAAGGCUGGGCCUUGCUGGAGGAGUUUUAUUCAAAGCGAACUGUCAAGGGGGUCCCAUAAAUCACCCGACCGCGUAAGGAACGCAAACUCAAGGAACAUAACACCGGUAUGACAGAAACUAGGGCGGCAAGAGUGGAACAAAACACCAGGCAUAAGGCCGAGCCUUCCACCCUUUACCAUAUAUAUAGAUGCAAUAAUAUAAUAAGAGAUAUUGUGAUAUGCCAACAUAUCCAUGUUCCAAAAUGGAACAAACUUCAACUUCACCUGCAACUAACAACGCUAUAAGAAGGGCUGAGCGAAAGCGGUAACUUAGCCAAACAACGGUUUGCUAGGAAAGGAUGGUUAGAGGCUGUCAUGGCAAUAUGGGAGGCAUGAUAUAGUAAGUGGUAGGUAGCGCAGCAUGGCAAUAGAGCGAACAACUAGCAAAGCAAAGAUAGAAGUGAUUUCGAGGGUAUGGUCAUCUUGCCUGCAAGGUUCUCAGAGUUGUCGAAAGCUUGCUCCUCGUAAGCGUACUCAACAGGUUCCUCGUUCACGAACUCGUCUCCCGGCUCUACCCAAGACAAGAAUACAAGCAAUGGAACCACAAUCAAUCACGGGAAAUGCACAAGCAACAUGAUGCAAAACAUGAAUGAUAUGCAAGAUAUGAUAUGCGAUGCAUAUGCGUGCUCCGGAAGGGAAAAGAUGAACAAGGCAGUAACCUGGCAAACCAAGCAUGCCACUGGAAAGAUGAGAUGAUUUCGGUCGAAAUCGAUAUAAAGAUCACCGGAAACGGAUGCACGGUUUGCAAAUGGCAAGCAAAACAAGAAUGGCACGAAUCUGAGCUUAACAGCAUGAUAGCACUUAAAAUGCAACAAGUAACAAUGCUACCUCACUCCAACGUAGCAACAAAGCAUAUGGCAGUAAUCUACAGGAGAUGCUUGACAAAAGAUAAACACUGAGCUACGGCUAGAUCACAACAUAACAAGCUCAAACAAGCAUGGCAAAAGUGCAAAAGAUAACAGGUUCACAGACAGUGAAAUUACUGGACAUGGCAGAAAACAGCAUCAGGUAGCACUGUUCAGAGCACGAAAACAACAUGCUACAGAAACUUAACAUAGCAAAACAAGGCAUCCCAGUAUUCUACUAAAUGCAUAUAACAAAAGUCUCUUAGUGACCAUAAGCCAACAAGGACCAGAAGAUAUGAUGACAACCAUGUAAACAUAGCAAGUUCCGUUAACAGGUUUCAGACUUAGCAGAAAACAGAGCAUGGCAGAAACAAUAAUAUGAAGGCAUCUUUGUGAGCUUGAUCCACUCACCACAAAGUAAUUCAUGACAAAACAAGCAUACCUACAGCAAGAUGGCAUGUUUAUGAAGCUACCCAUGGCAAGAGCAAAUACAUAGUAUGUAUGAAACAACUACAACAAGGUUGGAAAAAUUGAAUAUCAUGUUAACAAUCUGACAGAAAUAUUUUAUAGCAAAAGUAGAGCAAUAUUGAGUCAUGCUAUGGCACUUCAUAAUUGCAAACAAGGGCUGGAAUAGAUCAAUUACAACAAUAUCUACAGAACAUCCUUACUGAUCAUCUCCAAAAUAUGCAUGGAUCUCUCUGUAGCCACAUGGAUACAUAGCAACAAAAUAACAGCAGACAAAGACUUUGAAAAACUACCAAGUCCCUGAAAUCAGAAACAUUACGAGGCCUAGUUUGCAUGCUUGUGCUAGUCACCACAGAGAUCACAAAAAUACAUGGCAUAUACCCUUGCAAAGAUGGCAUGGCAUAAAACAAAACACAUGUAGAGUUCAUGCCCAUAAGAUGCACAGAUUAAAUGAUACAAAAAUAACAAAUCCUCUUGCACCAGAUAAGUUCUGAUAAGUAACAGCAGAUAACAGCAACUAGCACUCUUGCACCAGAGAUUUGGGCGUCAACAUGGACACAAAUGAACCUGGUGCAACUGAACAAAAUAUAGAGCAUCACGAGACGAACAAUUCGAUAUAUUACAUGCCCGAAACGGAGCUAUAUGCAGAGAGUUAUGAUGCAUUGAACAUAGGUACAUACUGCAAAAAUAACAAGACAGAAAUAUUUCGGGGGGGAUAUCGGGGUCAACCUAGGUCAAACCAGAUCGAGAUCGGGGCUAGGGCCAAGCUCGCCGGAGUUGCGCUCGAGCUCGCCGGAGCUUGGGGAAGAGGAGGCGACCGGCGACGAGAGGAGGAGAGGGCGACGGCGACGCGGGAGGGCGGCGGUGGCUGGCCACGGCGGCGAGGAAGCGGUGGCGCACGGCGGCGGGGCAGGCGCGGAAGGCGGACGGCNNNNNNNNNNNNNNNNNNNNNNNNNNNNNNNNNNNNNNNNNNNNNNNNNNNNNNNNNNNNNNNNNNNNNNNNNNNNNNNNNNNNNNNNNNNNNNNNNNNNNNNNNNNNNNNNNNNNNNNNNNNNNNNNNNNNNNNNNNNNNNNNNNNNNNNNNNNNNNNNNNNNNNNNNNNNNNNNNNNNNNNNNNNNNNNNNNNNNNNNNNNNNNNNNNNNNNNNNNNNNNNNNNNNNNNNNNNNNNNNNNNNNNNNNNNNNNNNNNNNNNNNNNNNNNNNNNNNNNNNNNNNNNNNNNNNNNNNNNNNNNNNNNNNNNNNNNNNGCGGGCGGCGCGGGCGGCGCGGGGCCACGUGGCAGCGCCUGGUUGGCCGGGCGCGGCGGCGGGGAUGCGUCCGGCGGCGGUGGACACGUCUGGUGGCGGCGGGGAUUUUUUUAGGGUUUGGACUGCGAAUGUUUCGGGAGGGGAGGUGUAUAUAUAGGUAGAGGGAGCUAGGAGAGUCCAAAUGAGGUGCGGUUUUCGCCCGCACGAUCGUGAUCGAACGACCUACAGCAUGGAAGUGACUUAGAGGAGCUUUGGGCUGUUUAUAUAGGGGGUUUUGCUGCAACACAAAGAAGGCAUCUGCGGUUACCCGGUUAACCGUUGGGGUACCAAACGACCUCCAAAUGGAACGAAACUUGACCGGUGGUCUCCCGGUGGUAUACCAAGGCCACUUGACAAGCCUCGGUCCAUUCCGAGAACGUUCAACACCCGCUCACAAAAAGAAACAAGAGGGGUGCGCCGGAGGAGGUGGGAGCACCGGAUUGCAAAACUGACAACGGGGAAAAAGCUCGGAUGCAUGAGACGAACACGUAUGCAAAUGCAAUGCACAUGAUGACAUGGUAUGGGAUGCAUGACAUGAACAAAAUGCAAAACGAGAAACAAAACCCGACAACGGAGGGAAUAUCAUAACACAUAGCCGAAAAUGGCAAGAGUUGGAGUUACAAAUAUGGAAAGUUACAUCCGGGGUGUUACUGCCGGCGAGUGCACAGGACCUCCUGCCCCAGCGGCGGAGUUUUGAACAGGUUGCGUGCCAGCCAUGAAGAUUCCAACCCGGCUAGGCGGCUCAAAGGGGUCCGGAAUACUGUCGCCAUCGGAACAACCCCGGAGCCUGCCGUCUUGAAGUUGAUACAACGAGUCCGUCUCACCUGUGGACGAUUCACCAUCAGAGCAGACGGCUGUCUCAUCACCAGAUCUAGAUCCUUCAGAAAGUCCUCCGUGGAUGCAUCCCACGAAAGCAUGCUUCAAGGUAGGCAGAGUCCGGGCGGGUCUCGCACGCUGAGCCGUCUCGACGAGGUCGGUGCAGAUGUCCGGCUCAGGGCCCCGCUCACCAAUCUUGCAAAUGAAAACGUGGAUUCCUCCAAAGGGGACCCGGUACCCCGUACUCGAUUGAGUCGGCGUCGGGGCCCCAGCCUGCGUUGCCGAUGUAGAGCUUGCCGCGACGACUCUUGGUCAUCCGGCCCACAGCGUAUCCCUUGAGCCCUUCGAAGCUGCCCUUCAAGAACUCAAAUCCACCGUGCGCUGGCCCCAUGGUGGGCGCCAACUGUCGUGGAAUUGUCACGGCAGAUGUCCUCAUGAAAGGACUUAGUCGUGGAGCCAUCGCAACUAGGAAGCUUAAAGGGGUUAAGCGGGACAAAGGACACGAGGGUUAUACUGGUUCGGCCCUUACGGUGAAGGUAAAAGCCUACUCCAGUUGAGGUGGAAUUACUAGGGUUUCGAUGACCAGGGAGUGAAUCCGCUAUGCCUGGCAACCGAUUUGAUGUUACAUCUCUUGAACCGCUGCUGGGUCAUCCCUUUAUAUACAGAGGUUAACGCCCAGCGUCUCUCAGAGUCCCGGCCGACUCAUAAUCUGUGUCCGUCUCGGUCUCUUAACUAUUCUUGCCUUACAAUACAAGUCAUGCCAUUACGGCGGUUUAUCACUACGGGCCUUAAGUCGCCUAUGGGCUUUAGGCCCUUUACUGAACUGCCAUCUUCAAGCUUGAUAUUGGGCUUCAUAUGAUGAAUCGCCAUAACGUAUCCCGGCCCUCCUGGGCGGGUUACGCCAGUAGUUAUAUCCCCAACAGUGUUUGUCCUCUUGUCCUAGUUCCAGGCGAGGCUGGCUGGUCCAGCCGGAGGCAGAGAAGAACGACGAUGCUGCCAGUGAGCAUGAUGGCGACCACCGGAGCAGAGGAUCACCGGCGGGGGUGCGGAAAUUGAAGGCAGAGCCGGGGUGUGCAAGCGGAGGGGCUGUCGAAGGCACGCGCGUGGGGUGCUCGAGCACGAGCUCAGCUCAUCUCAGGUACGCGAGGUCCGGCAUGGCAAGGCAGGCAGGGAACGCGCGCGUGACUGCUGCACUGCAGGGCGUGCACGUGAGGCGUGUGAGGCAAGGCUGUAGCAAGGCGGUGAGGGGCGCAGGGCUAGUCGCAGGGGCUACUGAGGGAGUCCUGGACUAAGGGGUCCUCGGGCGUCCGACCUAUUAGACAUGGGCCGGACGGAUGGGCUGUGAAAAUACAAAGACCAAAGGCUCUACCCGUGUCCGGAUGGGACUCUCCUUGGCAUGGAAGGCAAGCUUGGCGUCCAAAUAUGAAGAUUCCUUUCUCUGUAACCGACCUUAUAUAACCCUAGAUCCCUCCGGUGUCUAUAUAAAUCGGAGGGCUAGGUCCGUAGAGGCGGAUCAUCAUAAUCAUAGUCAGACAUGCUAGACUUCUAGGGUUUUAGCCAUUACGACCUUGUGGUAGAUCAACUCUUGUAAUACUCAUAUUCAUCAAGAUCAAUCAAGCAGGAAGUAGGGUAUUACCUCCAUAGAGAGGGCCCGAACCUGGGUAAACAUUGUGUCCCCCGUCUCCUGUUACCAUCGACCUUAGAUGCACAUUUCAGGACCCCCUACCCGAGAUCCGCCGGUUUUGACACCGACAACGACAGGAACUAGCCAAAAGUUACAGACUUCCCGGAGCACCAAGAGCACAGGAAAGAUACGGAUGAAGCGACGCCUACGGUGAUCUAUUAGCUACAGGAAAGAUCAGGGAGGUAGCUGGGUAUACCUAGUAUACCUAUGGCACGAAGGUGUGGCCGGGGAUGUAGCAGAUCGUCAGCGGGGAGGCGAAGAACUCCUGUGGACUUGCUGUUCUUGAAGAAGAUGAUGUAGUGGAAGAAGAUGUCGAGGGACUUGGCGAUCCUUGGGCGUGAUCAACAUCAGAACGGAAUCGGGACAGUGUGUACAUGCUCGUGGAUGUCGACGGGGUGGCCAUCAACGCGAGCUUUUCUGGUGGCGAGCUCGACCAGGAGCCCGCCAUGUUGUCGGGCAGCGGCGAUGGGGCGAGGUGGAGCUACCCUUACCUGGUUGGUGGUGUGGAUGAGGAAAGUAGGAGGAAGGGGAAACCCUAGGGAGCCCAAGGGUGGCUUUAUAGGGGGCGCGGGCACGGCUGGCUCGCCACCAUGGCCAUGUGCUCGUGCCCCUUUUUUUUUACUAUGAGAGAGAGGUGUCGUGAGGAGGAAGAAAAAGGAGAGAAGGGAGACGCUGGCAGGUAGGGUCGAGGGGGUGCACAACAGGCGCUUGGGGAUGGAUUUUACCAGAGAGGCGAUGGUGGGCUGUGGCACUGCGCGAGAGCUGGGCUUCGGUUGGGAUGCGCUGCUGGGUUGCUGCUGCUGCUUCUGCCAUUAUUCAUUUCUCCAAACAGAAGCAAAAGCAAUAUGCCCAGAGAUAAAGGAGAGGGGUGAGGAAGAAAUGGAUAUACCCCUAGACUCCUGGAAUUAUGUAGUAUUUGGUAAAAUUGAGCUGGAUAUUUUUAGAGGUAGAAAAAUAAAACAAGUUUGAAUAAAAUUCAAACUUGUGCCAUUUUUGAACCCAACCAAAACAACUCCAAAUUAGAUGAAAUUUGAUAGAGAGGAGGUAGGCAUGGUGCAAGAUUUAUUGGCAAUGAUUGAACAUUAAUGGAGUCAUCAAAGAAGGCACUCGCAUGAAGAAGUAAAAGAGUAGGAGGAAGAAGAAGAAGGAGGGGUGUUGCAUGGGACAUAUGCAUGAGCAAGCAACAUAACAAACAUAGUGCAAGCACAACAAGAUGGAUACAACAAUGCACAUGAUUAGCAUGAAGAAUGCAAAAUGACAAGAGGCAUAAUGCAACUUAACGAUGAUGAGCAUGGCAUAUGCAACAAAUAAACGAAUAAUGCAAAACAAGAUGACAAUGGCAAACACACCAUGACCAAGAUAGAAAACACAAGGAUGGCAUGUCACUAACAUGAACAUGGCAACAAACAACUUAAACACAUGACAACAGCUAAAAUAAAUGGAAGGCAACUGGAGCAUCGGUCUCGGGGCGUCACAACACUCCUCCAAUUACAAGAGAUCUCGUCCCGAGAUCUUAGGAACGAGACAGAAGAGGAAUAGGAUGACAAAGUUGCUCCUCGGAAAAAUGAGUGAAACCAAAGAACCUUGAGAGGUUAAACUAUUCCAAGGAAAGGAUACAACGGAGAUCAACGAUGUUGUAAAUACUCCUUUAGAAAAGAUGAACAAGGAACAUUAUGAGAACCUUGUAGGUAUAAAUACAUGAAACAAGAGCUCAAAGAACAAGAAUGAAUUUGAAACCACUCCGGCUAAAAGGAGAUAGAAAAGGAAUUCGAGUGAAGAAAUUUGGGCAGCACUCCGGCUGAAAAAUGGAAGGAAUAGAACAUGAACUUCACAAAAUGGGAUGACACUUUACGAGAGCUAUAACACAAUGCCUCCGAAACAAUUGAAAGAAUGGAAUGAAAAGAACGGUGAAGGAAACAACAUCUUCUACCACAAAUGAAUUUGAAAAGCACCCUUAUGAAGAAGGGUUGAACGGAGCUGUUGAGAACAUCGCCAAAAAAGAAUAAGCUUGUUGUGGACUUAUGGAAAAAAACAUCUCAAAACUUGAGGUGAAAUUAUGCCACAACCAAAUGCCUGAAUAGCUGAGAAGAACGAAGAAAUGCAAAACUCCACUUCAAAAGAAUACGGAGAAUUAAUUGCACCUCGAGACGCAAGAAGAAAAGAUACUUGAGCUCCUCCAACAAGAAUCUUGAUGAACACUUGAAGAAUGAAAUAAAUCCUUACGAACCACCAUGAAGAACUCCGGUAACAAAAUGAUGAUGAGAUAGAAUUGAAGGAUGAAAAGAAUAAGAUUAAAGCCUUGUAGUGAUUGAGAUGGAGGUUCCGACAAGAUGGCCGAGGAAACUUUGAACUCCGGAAAGGAAAAGAUGAAAAAGCUUCAAACCUGGAAUGUGAUAUGAUGAACAAACUCUGAAAAGAAGAGAUUAAUCAACAUGACGAAAGAAUAAUAAGAAUUAUGUUAUGCUUAUCCUCCACCAAUUAAAUUGAUGAGAAGCAACGGAUUUGCAUACUAAUUAUUCACGUUGGAAAAGAUUAAGAGAGAUAUAGCGCGAACAUGGGAAUGUCUUCAUGAACCACCGGUACGAUUUGUAAAGAACGAAUUAAUUGAUAGGAUAACAACGUAAAAGGUAUCUUGAAUGAACCACCGUAAGAAUUUGAAAAUGAAUGAAGAAAGCGAAUUACUCGCCCGGAAGAAUUAGAAAAAGCACAAAUGAUAGCUGGAAUUUGAGGACGAAGAAUUCUUCUGGAAUGAUGGCCUUCGGUGAAACGAAACGGAAAACAACUCCUGACAUACUCGAGAUGGGAAGGAAAAGAAUUCUUGACGAUCGGAACAAAAUAAGAGGAUAGCAACAAGCUAGCACCACGAAUCUCUGAGAGAAUGGACACUAUUUAGAGGAAACUCUUCUUCGGUCUUCACACGUUGAGAAUGACGAUGAGGAACACCACCAAAAUUGUUGAGAUACUCCGAGAGAAUGAAAGCGAAGAGGUUGAGCCAACAAUGAAAAUAAUUUGAAAUCAAUCUUGGAAAAGCAUCUAACUGAUGAAAUUCAUUCUUACGUCAAACUUCGAAAGGAAUUUGAGAAUAUCUCCGGGAAAAUUAGAAGAGUCAGGUAAGAUCCUGGGAAAAGACCUGUGGGUUAGGGCCCACUGAAAAGAAACACCGUUGAAAAGGAUUGUUUGAAUGAGAAAUGAUGCACCAGAACAAUUGAAAGACUCGAAUGAGGUGACAACCUCGAAAUAAUUGAAUGCAAACACAAAUCUUCUGAGAUGUCUUCAGCACUCCGGAAGGAUAAACUGGCAAGAGGCGAACGAGCAAGGGGAAACACUUGAGUCGAGGAAAGGAAUAUGAUCGACAAUGAAAACUUGAAUUAGAUCCACCAGAAAGAAAAUGAGAUGAACAAUGACUAACUAGAAAAAAUUUACUGGUUGAGACAAUUGAGGAAAGACUGAAGAGACUCUGCACGAAUGAAAUUGAUGGUCGAAUAGAGGUUGAGACUCCGGGAAGAAAAGGGGUGGGAGGGCAGGAAAACAAAGGCAACUUGGAACGAGGAACUGACGAAUAACUUGAAGAGAAAAGAACCGGUUGAAAUGAUUGAGGAAAGAAUGCAAAGGCCUCGCACGAGUAGGAUGGAUACUCAAUUACGGACUCCGGCUCCGAGAAGAAAAAGGGUGGGCGGGUGGGAAAAAGAAAGACAACUUCGGACGACAUUCCUUAUCUUCGGACGGGGAAACAACAUCGUUGAGAAAGAACUGAGGAUUGAUCUUGCAAAAGACAAAGAGGGUCGAAUCAACUUGAUGAGAAAUGCAACAGAUGAAAAGAGCUGACGUCGCAACGAUCGAAAAACUAACUUCGUGACCCUAAAGAAAAAUUUGAAGGGGAAGAGGAGUAAUUCAAAACACCUAUGUCAAGAUACCUCACUAGAGUGAUGAAGGGGUUGAGGAGUAAAAAUAAUUCCUACUCUCUGAUAUAACUAGACUCCGAAAAAGUUUUUCUUCUAGACUUGACAACGGCCAACUACAUCAAUGAAGGGGGCUCCUAUGGUCGGUCGAGGCUCUGAUACCAACUUGUGAUGCCCAAUAUGUGAUCCUAUCCGAGAGGAACUCGAAGGUCCCAUCAAGGAUAGAGCCUCAUAUUGAAGACGCUUUUGCAAGGUGGAUAUCAUUACAUCGUACCAUUACAUAAUAGCCGGGGAUACAUACAAAGGCAUACAAAUGCCACAUGAAUAUCUCAAACAUCAUACAUGAGAACAACAUCCAACUACGGAUGAAAGACAAAUAGAAACUCAAAUGACAUCCACCCUGCUAGCCCAGGCUGCCGACCAGGAACCUAUCCCUUGAACGAAGGAGAAGUAGAAGAAGAAUUCCAAAACAAGUAAACAUCGCUCUCACGUCAUGAUCAUCACAUUACCUGUACCCGCAACUGUGGUUGUAGUAAUUUGUGAGCCACGAGGACUCAGCAAUCCCAUUACAAUGGGUAUCAAGACUAGCAAAGCUUAAUGGGUAUGGAAAGGAUAAGUGGUGAGGCUGCAGCAAGCGACUAAGCAUUGUAUGGUUCCUAACUUACGAGUACAAGAAUAAGAUGAGAAGCUACGCAAACAGUCGCAAACUAGUAAUUCGGAACAUAACCCCACCGUGGUCUUGAACUACUUACAUUCAAACAUAACCCCACCGUGUUCUCUUCUCGACUCACUCGAAAAGAGACAGUCACAGUUACGCACGCGGUUGGUGUAUUUUAAUUCGGAUCUGGUGUCAAGUUUUUCUACAACCGGAUAUUAAAAAUUCCCAUCUGCCACAUAAACGCGGGCACGACUCUCGAAAUUUUAAACCUUGCAGGGGUUUCCCAACUUAGUCCAUCACAAGCUCACGAUCCGCGGAGACAAUCCUCCAUCUCGGGACCCUCCGACCAGACUCGGAAUCCCAGUGCACAAGAUAUUUCGACAAUGGUAAAACAAAACCAGCAAGACCUCCCAGUGUGCCGACAUCCUGAUAGUAGCCGCGCGUAUCUCGUCUCAGGCCACGACCGGAUGAGCAGUCCGUACAACUAAAACCAGUCCUCGAGUUUCCCCGUGGCGGCGCUGCAAGGGGCUCUAGUUUGGACCAACACUCAUGAGGAGCACUGGCCCAGGGUUGUUAAUUAAGUCCUCGGGGCCUGGGAAGUCCCUAUGCAAGUUUUAGUUGUUAUUAGGCAAAUGGUAAAACCAAUGUUGGGCCUUGCUCGAAGAGUUUUAUUCAAAGCAAACUGUCAAGAGGGGCCCAUAAACCCUCACCGUGUUAGGGACGCAAAAUCAAGGAACAUAACACCGGUAUGACAGAAACUAAGGCGGCAAGAGUGGAACAAAACACCAGGCAAAAGGCCGAGCCUUCCACCCUUUACCAAGUAUAUAGAUGCAUUAAUUAAAUAGGAGAUAUUCUGAUAUCCAUGAUAUCCAUGUACCAACAUGGAAUGACCUACAACUGCACCUGCAACUAGCAAUGCUAUAAGAGGGGCUGAGCAAUGCGGUAACAUAGCCAAACAACGGUUUGCUGGGAUGGUGAAAAGGUUAGAGGCUGUUUCAUGGCAUAAUGGGAGGCUUGAUAAACAAGUGGUAGGUAGCGCCACAUAGAGAUAUCAUCGAGACAACUAGCAUAGCAAAGAUAGUAGUGAUAUCCAAGGUGACGGUCAUCUUGCCUGAAAUCCCGCUAGGAAGAAGACCGAAUCCAUGAAGUAGACGAACCAACGAAGUCGAACGAAUCCUCACAAUCGCAACGAAACUGGGAACUAUCAAGAAGAAGCACAACCGGAAAGAAGCAAACAACAUGGUAAACACAGAAGCAUAAACAUGGAAUGAAAGAGAACAUAUGCUACAUGCACGAGGAACAUGAAUGCAUAUGAAGAAUGCAAAAGACGGAGCUAAGGGGCUACCGGUACGAGGGAUACAUCAAUGGGAAAGAAAUGUUGGAAACAAGAUGGAGAUGGGCAAGCUCUUGGCAAACCAAGCAUGCCAUUGGAUAUUGGAAGAGUCUAGUUGAAAACGAUAUAAAGAUCACCGGAAACGGAUGCACGGUUUGCAAAUGAUGAGCAAAACAAAAUGUAAUGCAAAGCUGUUUAAAACAGCAACAUGCCAACUUGGAUGCAACGUUUGAAUAUGCUACAACACUCAAACAUGGAAAAAAAUGGCAUGUCAUUUAAGUACAUAACAUCUAGUACAAAACAUGAUUACUGAACUAUUUCUAGAACUCACUAGAUCAUCACCAAAACAGCAUGGCAAACUGACAAGUGACAACAGUUUUACAGACUAGAACAGAUUCAGAAUGCAAUGUUUAGGGCUAGUAAACUACAUGCAGAAGGAACUUAUCAUGGCAAACUAGAACAUGGAAUUCAGGUACUAAAUGCAUUUAACAAAACUCCCUUAAUGAACAUGGUCCAAAUCUCUACAGAUAUGAUUAUAGCAUCAAUGCAAAAUGGCAAGUCAUAUAAGCAGUUUCACACUUGGCAAAAAAAUAAACAUGUCAUGACAGAAACAGAUUUAGGUAGGCAUGUUUUCAAGCUUGUUGCACUCACUAAAAUACAUAUCAUGGCAUGGGAUAAUAACCAGCAGUAAUAUGGCAUGCUUGUGCUCCAAUUCAUAUCAUAAUAUAUCUCAUAUGAAAAUCACACAAAAUCAUGUAAAAAUGCUAAAAUGGCAUAUGCCGUAAAAAUAAUAUGUUCACAAACUUGCUCAGAUGAUGAAAUGGAUGCCACAAUUGGAUUUUUGGGAUUUUUCUACACCAAAAAGAUAUAUAAUAUGUGGGGGUUGCUAUAGAAUGCUCACAAGUGCAUUAAGUGAAAUACUCGCAUAAAUGGAUAUUGACAGAAAUGGAAAUCUACCAGAAAUGGAAUGUCCAGGUUUAGACAUGGCCCAAAAUGGAAACCAGGCACUUUACAUAUUUGUAAAAUCGCCGGGGUUUAAAAUGGCUUAGUGGAAGACAGGUGGGAUGCUUCUUUCAGUGGCACACUGAAAUUAAAAAUAGCCUGGGAUUCAAGCCCGGGUCUCCCCGUUGGAGAAGCAGGGGCGCAACCAGUGCGCUGCUGCUGCAUUCGUUGCAAGGAAGGGGCAUUGGUUCUCUUGUCCUAGCUCCACGCGAGGCUGGCUGGUCCUGCCGAGGCAGAGAAGAACGACGACGCGGCCAGCGAGCAUGAUGGCGACCACCGAAGCAAAGGAUCACCGGCGGGGGUUCGGAAAUUGAAGGCGGAGCCGGGGUGUGCAAGCGGAGGGGCUGCCAAAGGCGCGCGCGCGGGGUGCUCGAGCACGAGCUCGAGCUCGUCUCGGGUACGCGCGGUCCAGCGUGGCAAGGCAGGCAGGAAGCGCGUGCGUGGCUGCUGCAGUGCAGGGCGUGCGCGCGUGGCGGGUGAGGCAAGGCUGUAGCGAGGCAGUGAGGGGCGCAGGGCUAGUCGCGGCAACGACAGGAACUAACCCAAAGUUACAGACUUCGUCGGAGCACCAAGAGCAUAGGAAAGAUACGGAUGAAGCGACGCCUACGGUGAUCUAUCAGCUACAGGAAAGAUCAGGGAGGUAGCUGGGUAUACCUAGUAUACCUAUGGCGCGGACAUGUGGUCGGGGAUGCAGCAGAUCAACGGCGGGGAGGCGAAGAACUCCUGUGGACUUGCUGUCCCUAAAGAAGAUAAUGUAGUGGAAGAAUAUGUCAAGGGACUUGGUGAUCCUUGGGCGUGAUAGAUGUCAGAACGGAACCGAGACAGAGUGUAGAUGCUCGUGGACAUUGACGAAGUGGCCAUGAAUGCAAGCUUGCCGGUGGCGAGCUUGACCGGGAGUCCGCCAUGGCGUCGGGCCGCGGCGAUGGGGUGAGGUGGAGUUUCCCUUACCUGGCUGGCGGCGCGGAGGAGGA
rnacentral:lncRNA from 1 species